rnacentral:rRNA from 1 species
UACAGAGGGUGCGAGCGUUAAUCGGAAUUACUGGGCGUAAAGCGCACGUAGUCGGCUUUGCAAGUCGGGUGUGAAAUCCCCGGGCUCAACCUGGGAACUGCAUCCGAGACUGCAUUGCUAGAGUAUGGGAGAGGGAAGCGGAAUUUCUGGUGUAGCAGUGAAAUGCGUAGAUAUCAGAAGGAACAUCAGUGGCGAAGGCGGCUUCCUGGACCAAUACUGACGAUCAGGUGCGAAAGCGCGGGGAGCAAACAGG